UUUACAUUUCAAAAAUUAUUUCUCCGUUUUGUUAUAUUUUUAAUGUUUACAAAGAUGUUAUUGUUUCGAAAGUGACGAGAGUAUGUUUAAUUUGGGGGAAAAUUGGAUAGUUAUAUUAUUAAUUCAAUUGUAUGUAAACUUCAACAAUUGUAUUAGAUUGUGAUGAUAUCAUUAAGGUUACAUAAGAGGUGUUUAUAUAGAACAAUCGAGUCACCUUCAUCCUCGGGAACAUAUGGUGCUAUAGAUCAGCGAUGUUAAAAGUGGCGGACACUUUAUAAUGUCCCGGGAGAUCGAUCUUGUACGCAUUAUCAUUGAUUCGUCGUAGAACAUGGAAAGGUCCAUCAGCCCGUGGUUGAAGCUUCCCUAAACGUCCCUGUGGAAAACUAAGUGACACAAGGAGACGGACGUUCGUGUUGACUCAAAACGCCCCCAAUGUCCACUCCCGAAGCAUCACAUUCGACAUGAAAAACAUGUUCAAAGUUUGGUAAGGCAAGAACGGUGCGUUGGUGACGACGGUUUUAAGAGCAUCGAACGAGUGUUGGGCGGCGGAAGACCAAAUUCCAGCUCAGAAACUCAUUGUUGCACCCCCCUGCGCGCAGGUAGGACUUGUGGUAAAACAUGUCAUAAAACUACAAUGGAGUAGUAAAGGCUUUACCUUAUAAACAACCACUCACUUUGUUCCCACACCAAUGUGGGACAAAGUAUUUACCACAUUUUGAGACUUUUAUUCACACACCCAAAACUUACAACAUAUAAGUCCUAAACUUUUGCUAAUAACUAUUAGCUACAUGAUCUUAAAUGGCAUAUAUAAUAGUUAUUUUAAUUUUAUAUGUGGAAUCUUUAUUUAUUUUCAAAGCAUAACAUAUUUUUUAUAUUUUUUUUUCUCUAUGUGUGCUUUUCUUAAAAAAGCCCACGUUUUUUUUGCGCAUUGCGCCUAGGCUCCGGGCAAGGCCGAUGCGCCUCGCCUGCGCCUUGCGUCUUUGACAACAUAGGCCUGAUAGUUGGUCCGGAACCGUAACUGCUGUUGCUAGCACUUCAGAAUCGAGUAAGUUCACGUUUGUGAAGAUGCGGGAUCUUAUUUUGGGAGAGGAUGCUCGACGUCGUGGUUCAGGUGAGUCUUCUAGUUCUUUGUUGAGCACAGAGGCCAGGGGAAGAAAAAAUCAGCGGGAAAGUCGUCAGAGCAAGAGGAGUGUAUCUAAGGCUCGAAAGGAUGUGGUAUGUUGGAAUUGCAAUGAAGUAGGAUACUUUAGGAAUCAGUGUUUGAAACAGAAGAAAGAAAUAAACUCUGCAGGAGACCACAGUGAUGACGAUGAUGCGUUAGUCUGUAGUGUAGAGAGCAGUGUGGAUUCCUGGGUCAUGGAUUCUGGUGCUUCAUUUCACGCUACCCACAACAGUGAAGCACUGCAGAAUCUGAAAGAAUGUGACUUUGGAAAGGGAAAAUUGGCGAAUGAUGAGGUACUUAAUGUUACCGGCAUGGGUGACAUUGUUUUGAAGACUUCAGACGGUUCGUGGACUUUAAGAGAUGUCAGGAUUAUUCCAGGUCUGAAGAGUUUGUUGAUUUAAGUUGGCCAGUUGGAUGAUCUGGGACAUGAAGUUAAGUUCGAGAAUGGACAUUGGAAGGUUGUUAAAGGGAAUAUGGUCAUGGCUCGUGAAAAGAAAAGAGGCUCAUUAUACAUGGUCAUAUACCAUUGGAAGGAAGUGACGUUCCAGUUCUCAAGAAAAACAAAGUCGAGCUCACAGAAUCUCAGGGAGAGAAGAGGGUUUCCUUUACAAGAGAGAAACCUAGAGUUACAGGGAAGAUUCGGGAUGAACGAGUUUGGAAGUUCAAACCAGUCAAGGGACAUCGUGACAGUGGGAGCGCAAGGCGUGUUUCAGUUACAGUUUCAGGCGACAGUGGGUUGAAAAGACUAGAAUUCCAGAUGGAAAAGUCCCUCCAGAGAAUCAAUCUCUUGCUAGUAUUGGAGAGUGUGUGUUCUCGGGAUUUCUCAGGAUUCGGCAGUUCGUUUAUGUGGGAGUCGGCCGGGACAAGAACGAGUCACAGGUUGUGACUGGUGAGUUGAGGCUCAGUGGGAGCUUCAACGUGCCUUCAGGUUAAUUGUUGAGAAGGCUGCUGCAACUAGGUGGUAAAGGAAGAUUACAAGAUGUACAAAUGUUGAAGACUAUUGGGCGUUGUUCGAGCCUCCAAGUGGGAGAUUGUUGGGCGAAUUGGUGUGGAGGCCCGAUCAAGGGAGGGCGACCGACCCUAACUUUGCAUUGGCCCACACGUCUUUAUUUGGCUAUUAAGUUAGGGUUUUAAUUUAGCUGGCCCUAGUUAUCUCUAUGUGGGCUUGGGCCUAACUUGGGGAUCAAGUUUCCUAACCCUAGAUUAGUCUCUAUAUAGUGAUAUUUCCUUGAGCACCUGAAUAAUAAAGAAACCCUAGUUGCAGUA